UACGAAGGGGGCUAGCGUUGCUCGGAAUCACUGGGCGUAAAGGGUGCGUAGGCGGGUCUUUAAGUCAGGGGUGAAAUCCUGGAGCUCACUCCAGAACUGCCUUUGAUACUGAAGAUCUUGAGUUCGGGAGAGGUGAGUGGAACUGCGAGUGUAGAGGUGAAAUUCGUAGAUAUUCGCAAGAACACCAGUGGCGAAGGCGGCUCACUGGCCCGAUACUGACGCUGAGGCACGAAGGCUAGGGGAGCGAACG
rnacentral:rRNA from 1 species